rnacentral:rRNA from 1 species
GUUGUAUAGUCAAGUAAUUAAGUGCAUGUGGUGGAUGCCUUGGCAGUCAGAGGCGAUGAAAGACGUGAUAGCCUGCGAAAAGCUCCGGGGAGGCGGCAAAUAUCCUUUGAUCCGGAGAUGUCUGAAUGGGGGAACCCACCUACUUUAAGGUAGGUAUUGCAACAUGAAUACAUAGUGUUGCAAGGCGAACGAGGGGAAGUGAAACAUCUCAGUACCCUUAGGAAAAGAAAUCAAUUGAGAUUCCCUCAGUAGCGGCGAGCGAACGGGGAUCAGCCCAUUAAGUUAUGUGUGUUUUAGUGGAACGCUCUGGGAAGUGCGAACGUAGAGGGUGAUAUUCCCGUACACGAAAGGGCACACAUAAUGAUGACGAGUAGGGCGAGGCACGUGAAACCUUGUCUGAAUAUGGGGGGACCAUCCUCCAAGGCUAAAUACUCCUGACUGACCGAUAGUGAACCAGUACCGUGAGGGAAAGGCGAAAAGAACCCCUGUGAGGGGAGUGAAAUAGAUCCUGAAACCGCAUGCAUACAAGCAGUGGGAGCACCUUCGUGGUGUGACUGCGUACCUUUUGUAUAAUGGGUCAGCGACUUAUAUUCAGUAGCAAGGUUAACCGUAUAGGGGAGCCGUAGAGAAAUCGAGUCUUAAUAGGGCGUUUAGUUGCUGGGUAUAGACCCGAAACCAGGCGAUCUAUCCAUGAGCAGGUUGAAGGUUGGGUAACACUAACUGGAGGACCGAACCCACUGUCGUUGAAAAGCCAGGGGAUGACUUGUGGAUAGGGGUGAAAGGCUAAUCAAGCCUGGUGAUAGCUGGUUCUCCCCGAAAGCUAUUUAGGUAGCGCCUCGGACGAAUACCAUAGGGGGUAGAGCACUGUUUCGGCUAGGGGGUCAUCCCGACUUACCAAACCGAUGCAAACUCCGAAUACCUAUGAGUACUAUCCGGGAGACAGACUGCGGGUGCUAACGUCCGUAGUCAAGAGGAAAACAAUCCAGACCGCCAGCUAAGGCCCCAAAAUCAUAGUUAAGUGGGAAACGAUGUGGGAAGGCAUAGACAGCUAGGAGGUUGGCUUAGAAGCAGCCACCCUUUAAAGAAAGCGUAAUAGCUCACUAGUCGAGUCGGCCUGCGCGGAAGAUGUAACGGGGCUAAAACUAUGUGCCGAAGCUGCGGAUGUAUACUUUGUAUACGUGGUAGGGGAGCGUUCUGUAAGCCGAUGAAGGUGUGUUGAGAAGCAUGCUGGAGGUAUCAGAAGUGCGAAUGCUGACGUGAGUAACGACAAAACGGGUGAAAAACCCGUUCGCCGAAAGACCAAGGGUUCCAGUCCAACGUUAAUCGGGGCUGGGUGAGUCGACCCCUAAGGCGAGGCCGAAAGGCGUAGUCGAUGGGAAAAUGGUUAAUAUUCCAUUACUUCUGUGUAAUGCGAUGAGAGGACGGAGAAGGCUAAAUCAGCCUGGCGUUGGUUGUCCAGGUGAAAGGAUGUAGGCAUGUAUCUUAGGCAAAUCCGGGGUACUCUAUGCUGAGAUCUGAUAGCAAGCUGUACUUGUACAGCGAAGUGGUUGAUGCCAUGCUUCCAGGAAAAGUCUCUAAGCUUCAGUUACACAGGAAUCGUACCCGAAACCGACACAGGUGGUCAGGUCGAGUAGACCAAGGCGCUUGAGAGAACUCUGCUGAAGGAACUAGGCAAAAUGGUACCGUAACUUCGGGAGAAGGUACGCUGUUGUUGGUGAUGGAACUCGCUUCCUGAGCUGACGACAGCCGCAGAAACCAGGCCGCUGCAACUGUUUAUUAAAAACAUAGCACUCUGCAAACACGAAAGUGGACGUAUAGGGUGUGAUGCCUGCCCGGUGCUGGAAGGUUAAUUGAUGGGGUUAGCGUAAGCGAAGCUCUUGAUCGAAGCCCCAGUAAACGGCGGCCGUAACUAUAACGGUCCUAAGGUAGCGAAAUUCCUUGUCGGGUAAGUUCCGACCUGCACGAAUGGCAUAAUGAUGGCGGCGCUGUCUCCAGCAGAGGCUCAGUGAAAUCGAAAUCGCUGUGAAGAUGCAGUGUACCCGCGGCUAGACGGAAAGACCCCGUGAACCUUUACUGCAGCUUGACACUGAACUUUGACCUUACUUGUGUAGGAUAGGUGGGAGGCUUUGAAGCUGGAACGCUAGUUCCAGUGGAGCCGUCCUUGAAAUACCACCCUGGUAAUGUUGAGGUUCUAACUCUGUCCCGUGAUCCGGGACGAGGACCGUGUCUGGUGGGUAGUUUGACUGGGGCGGUCUCCUCCUAAAGAGUAACGGAGGAGUACGAAGGUGCGCUCAGCGUGGUCGGAAAUCACGCGUAGAGUAUAAAGGCAAAAGCGCGCUUAACUGCGAGACCCACAAGUCGAGCAGGUACGAAAGUAGGUCUUAGUGAUCCGGUGGUUCUGUAUGGAAGGGCCAUCGCUCAACGGAUAAAAGGUACUCUGGGGAUAACAGGCUGAUACCGCCCAAGAGUUCAUAUCGACGGCGGUGUUUGGCAC